rnacentral:rRNA from 1 species
GACGAACCGUGCGAACGUUAUUCGGAUUCACUGGGCUUAAAGGGCGCGUAGGCGGCGAUUCAAGUCUGGGGUGAAAGCCUUCGGCUUAACCGGAGAAGUGCCUUGGAUACUGGAUCGCUCGAGGGGGAUAGGGGCAUGCGGAACUUUCCGGUGGAGCGGUGAAAUGCGUAGAUAUCGGAAGGAACAUCUGUGGCGAAGGCGACUAUCUGGGCCAACACUGACACUGAGGCACGAAAGCGUGGGGAGCAAACAGG